rnacentral:rRNA from 1 species
GAUGAACGCUGGCGGCGUGCCUAAUACAUGCCAGUCGAGCGAACGGACGAGAAGCUUGCUUCUCUGAUGUUAGCGGCGGACGGGUGAGUAACACGUGGAUAACCUACCUAUAAGACUGGGAUAACUUCGGGAAACCGGAGCUAAUACCGGAUAAUAUUUUGAACCGCAUGGUUCAAAAGUGAAAGACGGUCUUGCUGUCACUUAUAGAUGGAUCCGCGCUGCAUUAGCUAGUUGGUACGGUAACGGCUUACCAAGGCAACGAUGCAUAGCCGACCUGAGAGGGUGAUAGGCCACACUGGAACUGAGACACGGUCCAGACUCCUACGGGAGGCAGCAGUAGGGAAUCUUCCGCAAUGGGCGAGAGCAUGACGGAGCAACGCCGCGUGAGUGAUGAAGGUCUUCGGAUCGUAAAACUCUGUUAUUAGGGAAAAACAUAUGUGUAAGUAACUGUGCACAUCUUGACGGUACCUAAUCAGAAAGCCACGGCUAACUACGUG